rnacentral:rRNA from 1 species
GAUGAACGCUGGCGGCGUGCCUAAUACAUGCAAGUCGAGCGAACAGACGAGGAGCUUGCUCCUCUGACGUUAGCGGCGGACGGGUGAGUAACACGUGGAUAACCUACCUAUAAGACUGGGAUAACUUCGGGAAACCGGAGCUAAUACCGGAUAAUAUAUUGAACCGCAUGGUUCAUUAGUGAAAGACGGUUUUGCUGUCACUUAUAGAUGGAUCCGCGCCGCAUUAGCUAGUUGGUAAGGUAACGGCUUACCAAGGCGACGAUGCGUAGCCGACCUGAGAGGGUGAUCGGCCACACUGGAACUGAGACACGGUCCAGACUCCUACGGGAGGCAGCAGUAGGGAAUCUUCCGCAAUGGGCGAAAGCCUGACGGAGCGACGCCGCGUGAGUGAUGAAGGUCUUCGGAUCGUAAAACUCUGUUAUUAGGGAAGAACAAAUGUGUAAGUAACUAUGCACGUCUUGACGGUACCUAAUCAGAAAGCCACGGCUAACUACGUG